AUGAACGCUAGCUACAGGCUUAACACAUGCAAGUCGAGGGGCAGCAUUGGGAUAGCUUGCUAUCCAGAUGGCGACCGGCGCACGGGUGAGUAACGCGUAUCCAACCUUCCCUAUAGUAGAGAAUAGCCCGGCGAAAGUCGGAUUAAUGCUCUAUGUUGUGUUUUGAGGACAUCUGACGAACACCAAAGGUUCACCGCUAUAGGAUGGGGAUGCGUCUGAUUAGCUUGUUGGCGGGGUAACGGCCCACCAAGGCGACGAUCAGUAGGGGUUCUGAGAGGAAGGUCCCCCACAUUGGUACUGAGACACGGACCAAACUCCUACGGGAGGCAGCAGUGAGGAAUAUUGGUCAAUGGGCGAGAGCCUGAACCAGCCAAGUAGCGUGCAGGAUGACUGCCCUAUGGGUUGUAAACUGCUUUUAUCAGGGAAUAAAGUGCGGCACGUGUGCCGUUUUGUAUGUACCUGAUGAAUAAGGACCGGCUAAUUCCGUGCCAGCAGCAGC
rnacentral:rRNA from 1 species